rnacentral:lncRNA from 1 species
GAGGCAAAGAGCAACACGUCCGGUCACAGGGCAGCUUAGUGGAGGGAGCAGGAUUUGAACCCAGGUGAAGCCCAUGCUUCUCGCACCACACUGCCUUCUAACAGGAUUGCCAACGUGGGGCACUCCGUCCGAGCAGGGCCCUGUCCUAAGCGUCAUCCACAUAUUCAUAGAACACACACAACCUCCUGGAUAAAGUCCAUCCUCUUUGGCAUCAAAACCCUCUGCAGCCCGGCCUCCGCUGACCUGCCCCACUGGCCUCGUCACCGCUCCUGCCUGGCAGCCACCAGAACAUCCGCAGCUGGACACGGGCCCGCUCCGCCCCCUUCCUGGGUCUUUGAUGGACUUUCUUGUCCAUCUGGAGCACCCCUCUGAGUCCUCUGUUCUGGGAGUGUCUCCUCACCCUCCACGUCCCCAGGCCCGAGGUCGGCAGUGCUCAAUACAUCUUGCCAAUCCAGCCACUAGGAUGAACGGUCCCCCGCCUGCAGGAAUGAGAAGCCUUUGGAUCUGGGCUGCUGUGCGGCCUGAGGCAAGCCCCUGAACCUCUCUGUGCUCAUUUCCUCUCCCUUAUGCCUGAGUUUUAAGAUCUGCCACUUGCUCGUAAACAUUUGACUGUCCCUUUCCUCCCCGUCCUCAGAGCCCAAACCUUCUCCCAAGUCUCGAGCACUUUAUAUUUUAUGUUUAUUUACAGCUUUCUUUUCAGUUUUCCCCUUUGAGUUUCCCGCAGUCUUUCUGUUGUUGAUUUAUUUGCGCUCAGAGGAGAGCUGGCUGGAUCACAGAGGCGCCGCUGGCAGAGCCUGGGAGCCCCGUGCGUGCCCAUGUGAGUUCUCUCAUCCGUAAAGGAUUCUGCCUCCUAGCAAGCGUGAUGGGUCAUGGGAACACACAGGCCGGUGGCGGCAGCCCGGACAAGGACUCCGAACCCCCUGGAAGCCCAGCUGGGGGGAUCCUGGACCGCCCUCCCCCUCUUCAGAGAAUCAUCAGGCAGGAUUUGGGGCAACCCACAUCCCUCUCUCGUGAUUCACUUUUCCCUGGGGGGCCUCCCCCAUGUCCCCCGGCCUCCCCAUAAACGCACAGCCUCUCCCAGAGGCAGGAGUCAUCCAGACGCACUGUGUGAAAUAUCGGGCUGGUGGAGGACACCCCCCGGCAGACCUGGCCUCCCCCGUUGCCUCAUUAUAGCAAGCUUUCCCACACACGGCCUCCCAUUCGGACACCCUGGGAAGCUGGGAAGCCAUCUGCUUAUAGUAACGUGACUUAUGACUUAUGGUUAUGAUUAUGAUUCCUUUUUUUUUUUUGCAAAACAUCUGCUUUAACGGGGAAAAUGCUAUCCGGAGGAGUGGUGGGCUGUAAAAAUGCAACAGCAGGAAAAACUGCCGCUAAUGGUCACUACAUGGAACAGAGCCUCAGAGAUCAGCAGGGCUGUCACGGAGGCGGCUCAGGAAGUGGCCUGUGACGUCCCUGCCAGGGCCUCAAAGAGACCCAGGCUCAGCCCCUGCUGGGGGAGGCAGCCCCGGGAGACCGGCCUCCUAGCAGAGGGCAGUCCCCUCCCCCAAGCCCUCCGUCACCUCUCAGCCCGCUCUGGUCCACGCUGUCAGUGGUGGGAGGGGGCAGGGACCCUAGACUCUGGGGCCAACAGCCCCUUGUCCGGCUGCUGGCUGAAGGAGGAUGCCAGCGCUUUCAAACCUCCCUCUUUCCUCCAAUUACGAGAUUAACAACCCAACACAGACGUUUUCACCCACUUUAACUCCUUCCAGCAGCCUGGGCUAACCAGAGCCCUGCCUGGGGAGCCCCUGGGCCGCCUGAGUUCAGGGACUUGCUGUGUGACCCCGGGAAAGUCCGUUCCCCUCGAGGUUUCCUUCUCUGUGAAAUGAGGGCUUAGGGCUUCUAGGUCAGCAGGGCCAGCGGUAUCAUGCCUGUUUUCUCUUCACUGGAAUGUAAGUUCCAAGAGAGCAGGACUCUGUUACCCACUGUGUGCCCAAGACCUAAGAAAGUCCCUGUCACCAGGAAGUCACCCCAAAGAUCUUUGAUGUAUGAAUUCUGCAGAGUAGCAGACGGAUGCCCUGAAGGUUCAGGGGCAGAGGUUUGAGAAGGAGCUCAGAGCCACUCUGAGCCCCCAGCUCAGGAGAAUGCUUUCCCACGGCUCCCGGCUCCCGCCCAUCCCCCCUCACCCCCCACCCCUCCUCCACCCCCACCCCCCUCCCCUUCUUUCUCAAAGGAGAGGCACGUUCCUGGGGCUGAUGCUCCUCUGGCCAGGUCAGCCAGCGGGGUUAAGAGUCCCCAAGACUCUUUCCUCCGCAUCCUCUCAGGAGAAGCAGGCCUGGCCCGUGGGUCUGGGGCUCCUGCCCCUGGAGCUGCUGCCCCGCUCCUGAGGGGCUCAGUCCUGCCUUUGGGAGUCGAUUCUCUAAGCCCACCUCUGGAGGGGCCUCGUGAAGCUCUGGCGGCUGCCGGAAGCGGAAAUGCAAAUGGGCAGUUUCUAAAAACCAAGCCUUUGGCCUGUGAUGGGCUGCUGGUCAGGAUGGGGAGACAGGCUAAGCAGGUCUCUGGCCAGAGGAGGUUAUGAGGUGUGGGGCCUUGACUGGACAGUCAGCGUCCUGCUGCCCCACCUGUGCCACCCGAGGGGGCGCAGUGACGUGACGGGGCUAAGGGAGAGAACAGGGGACCCAAUAGCAUUCUCCAGACCCAGCUGGUCUUCUCCUCCUCACUCCCCACCAACCUCCCUGCUCCCGGGCUUCCAGCAUCACUGGGCAGAGAGGCUCAGGCACUCCCUCCAGUUCAGGCCUCUCUCCUGAGCUCUGGGAUUAGAUACUGUCCCUUCUGGUCCUCCCUGCAAUGUGUCAGGAAUCAAACUCAACAUCUCUACCAAGACCUGGUCCUCCAUGGGCUCAAGACCGAGCUUUGGGGGUCCCCAGAGGCUCUUCCCUCCCCCUCAUGCCCUGCCUGCAAUCCGCUUGAAGCCCCAUGGAUUCUGUCUCUUAACCACCCUGAAUCUGCCCCCUCCUCUCCAUCACACGCCAUCUCCCGUCUCCUGGCUCCAUCACCCUCUCCUGGCUCCAUGAUCCCUUCCCUGGCUCCAUCACCCUCUCCUGGCUCCAUCCCCCCUUCCCUGGCUCCAUCACCCCUUCCCUGGCUCCAUCACCCUCUCCUGGCUCCAUCACCCCUUCCCUGGCUCCAUCAUCCCUUCCCUGGCUCCAUCACCCCUUCCCUGGCUCCAUCACCCCUUCCCUGGCUCCAUCACCCUCUCCUGGCUCCGUCACCCCUUCCCUGGCUCCAUCAUCCCUUUCCCUGGCUCCAUCACCCCUUCCCUGGCUCCAUCACCCUCUCCUGGCUCCGUCACCCCUUCCCUGGCUCCAUCAUCCCUUCCCUGGCUCCCUCACUCUCUCCCGGCAGGAAGGUGGGCUUGUUCUUCGGAGCUGUGGGGGGACUGGGCUGGAGAGGGAGGGAGGGAAGUCGAGGGUGCGGGAGGAACCCUUAAAGGCCCGCCCUGACAGCCACCCAGGUGGGCCCACCUCAGACAGCACGUGGGAGGGGACGAAGGGUUGGAAUCUACGGAGCACGCGCAGGACACGGGAGCUCAGAGAGGGUGCAAACUCGCGGAGGUCGGCCGGUGGUUGCGAGAGGCUGCCUUCAGAAGCAGGUUUCCCUGAUUCUCACUGCCUCGGUCCUAUUCGAAGUGGCUCCUUAACCUGUGCCUCAGUUUCUUCAACUUCACAAACAAGGAGGAUGAUGAUGAUGACGAUGACGAUAAUGCCACCGUCCCAAGGCUGCUAUGGGGCUCAGAUGAGAUGACGUCUGUCUAAACAAGGUCAAGAGCACAAAAGCUAGCUGGCCAGUGAGGGACCUGGGUCCUAACCCCCCGUCAGAGGGACUGGAAGUGCUCAUCUAACCCUGCUUCCUCCUGCUCCAUCAUCACGUCGCUGUCCGCAUCUUUGAUGCAAAGCAUACUAGGGGUGGAAAAUGGCAGAGUCCUGGGAACUGAGGCUCCUGCCUCCAGGCCCCUGGGGUCCAGGGACAGCUGGGAGAGAAAGACUGGCAGUGGCAGAGUAGCAGCGACCCCAACCUCAGCGCGGGGCAGGGCCGGGCACAGGCCCUCCUUGGGUCUGCGGUUGGACACACGCCCGUGGCUGAGCCUCCAGACCACCCGGCCCAGCCCAGGUCGGGACGUUCUGUACCUUCCUCUGUGAGGCCUGGGGGCCUGUCUGCAGUUUUUAUAAACCACAGAAUGAGAGAGGGAACUGCUUUAUCCUUCAUUCCGAGAAAGGAUCUGGUCUUUGUAAGAAUCACCUUUUCACGACUGUCUAAACUUCUGCUGGUGGAAACCCCGUAAUUGAAUAUGCUGCAACGAGGAAAAUGCUGUGAUAGGACAAUGAGGGCUGGAGCAGACGGCAAAAUGGAACACUCGUCUGGCUCCACCUAUUUCAGUCAACCCGCCGGUGGAGGGGAAUUGGCCAACAGAAAGCUGGUUCGUGGGGCGGUUCCUUCCCGGUGUUUUGUAAUGUUGUUGCUGCACGGUGUUUUCAUUUUUAAAUUGUGUUUCAGAACUUCCUGAAGCCAUAACAGCCUUCCCGCCUCCUUUGCAAACUCUGAAAGCAACAUUUUUUUUUUUUUUUGGAGGAAGAUUAGCCCUGAGCUAACUACCGCCAAUCCUCCUCUUUUUUUGCUAAGGAAGACUGGCCCUGAGCUAACAUCCAUGCCCAUCUUCCUCCACUUUAUAUGUGGGAUGCCUACCACAGCAUGGCGUGCCAAGUGGUGCCAUGUCCACACCCGGGAUCUGAACCUGCUAACCCUGGGCUGCCGAAGCGGAACGUGUGAACUUAACCGCUGCACCACCGGGUCGGCCCCCCAAAACUAACUUUUUGAGAAGAAGAGGCAAAAAGCGGGCAGAGCUGGGUUUUGGGGUGAAUAAAUACACAAAUUGGCGAGAACUCCUCCGCCUCCCUUUCGCCCCAGCAGCUCAGGAAAAACAAAUCUGGGUGUGGACGCGGAUUGGGACAUCGUGAUGAUCCAGGCAGCAGAAUUUCUCCAGACACCACCCAACCGGAGAGCAAGAUGGGAUGCAGCCCAACUGCAGGUCUAAACCCUACUUAUCGAUGUGCAGCUGAAAGACCACCUCCUCCAGGAAGUCCCCUGGAUUGCCCUGCUUGACAAGAGCUCUCUUGCGUCUGAGUUCCCACGGCCCGUCCUCGCCUCUUUUGAGCCACUUGCCACGGUGCACUCUGGUUACUUGGUGUUGUGUGUUGACUCGCGUCCCCCUCUUGAAAAGAUGUGUUGAAAUCCUAAGACCUGGUUCCUGUGAAUGUGACCUUAUUUGGGGUCUUCACGGAUGUGACUAGGUCAGAGGAGGUCACAGUCAGUUACCGUGGGUCCCGAACCCAUAGGCCCAGUGUCUUUACAGAGACACAGAGAUAGACACACAGGGUGAACGCCGUGUGACAAGAGAGGCCGAGACUGGAGUGAUGCAGCUGGAAGCCGAGGGAUGCUCAGGAUGGAGGCCACCCCCAGAGGCCAGGAGGAGGCAGGGAAGGCUCCACCCAGCAUCUCGGAGGAGGCCGGCUGACCCGGGAUCUCAGCCUUCUGGCCUCCAGACGGCGCGAGGACAGACUUCCGUGGUUUUAACCCACUCGGCUCGUGGUACCUUCUUCUAGCCGUCCUACGACACCCAUCCAUCGGGGUUCAGCCUCCCUUCCUCCUGGAGAAGGUUCCCCACUCCACACCACGUCUGGCUCAGUAUCGAUGCUCAGGAAAUACUUCCUGAGGCGUGAACAGCUGCAUGAGGACUAUCCACAUCUGGCUGGUUUUCGGUCCCCAAAUUGCACAGCAGGGACGGAGGCACCGUCCCACCUCACGUCCCUGUGGCCUCCAGUCUGGAUCCCCGCGGCAGACCCCGCCCUGGUCUCCUCACCUCCCCUCUGGUCUUCCGGCCGCUUCCUCCAGCUCUGCUGAACUCUUGAGCCUUUCUGCGCUGGUUGGGCUUGCCAGCCUCUGGGCCUUUGCCCGUGCUGUGCCCUUGACCUGAGCCCUCGGCCCCCUUGUCCUUCACGCCUGGACUCCAGCGGCUCCAGCGGGCUGCCUGGACACCGCCCAGCCUCUUCCCGGAGCUCUGGUUCCUCCCCUGCUCGUGCUCUCCUGGCACCUCUGCGUAUUCUGUCCCCGGGACAGAGCCUGUCAACCUGGAUUACAGUCAUUUGUGUCCCCUCUGUCCGCCCUGUGGCCUCUCAGUAUCUUGGGCUGAAAGGCCCUUUAUUUCUCAUCUCGUGUCGCGGUGCCUCCAGCAGGGGAGGCGCCUGGAUGCCUGUGACACAAGCGAGGGGAUGAAUCGGACUGAGCGCGAGGAGCAGCGAGUGGUCCGCCCUACCUUAGGGGGCGGGCAGUGGUUUUCGCAUCUGCUGGCUCCCUUCCAGGACGCGGGGGCCCGAAGAACGAGGAGGCUGGAGGGACACUGACGAGCAGAGCCUGAGGGGGCUGUCCAGUGGCUUCCUGGUCUGCCCUUUGCAGGUCUGAGCCGAAGGACCCAAGAGAGGAGGAAGGAAGAAGCUUGUCCAGGUCACACAGUACGUGGGGGCGCCUCCCCCCGCAGCCCCAAGAUCUGGCUAGUGUCCCCGGUCCGUUUGCUCAACGAGGCUCUGGAGCCUGGGAGGCCAGAACUGGGGGUGUGGUGGGGAAAGGAGGCGGGAGAGGAGACCGCGCCCCCGGGGAGAAGAUGACAACCUCCACUUCCAGCACAGCCCUGUGUGCCAGGCCCUGGCCCGCUGCUCUGACCCACCACCCCGAAUGCCCAGCACAGCCCCGGGGGGCAGGUGCCGUUGACAGAUGAAGGAGCUGAGGUCCAGCAGCCCCAGGUCCCACAGCCGGUAGAGCUGCCAUUUGACCCCAAGCCCUCCCAGCCCAAAGGCUGUGAGCUUUCUACUACAUCAGGAUGCCUCUUUCAUGAAACGCAGCAGCAUCUGGGUCCGGUCUUGGCCUCAGCGGUGGCCAGUCCAAAAGGGCAGCAAACCUGAUGUUUUCUCAGGUACCCAGAGAACAUCUUGUAGUUUGUGUUUUUCAACGUGGACGGGAAACCUCUGGGUCCCCAGGCCCUUGAAGAAGUUCCUUUUCCCAGUGGAGCAGUUACGGCAAGAGGAAGGAGCACAGAGACCAGGCAGGGGGCUCAGAUGCAGAGGAUUCCAUCCACCUUGUGAUGGCGCUAACACAAGAGGCCAAAGGCCACAUUAAUAGAGGUGGAGUGUCGAGGAGGAGAGAGGUGAUUACUCUGUCAGGUGUUGCAGGGGUCAAACAACAGUCUGAGCAGAGUCCACUCCUGGGACCUCACAUGGAGAGAGAUGUGGCCUGGUGAGGGGGCUGGGAAGUUUUAGCCCAGAGAAGACACAGCAGGAAACGAGGACUGUCAUCAAUACCUCAAGAGCUCUCCAGUGGAUGAGCAAUUAGACAGACUCCUUCUGGUUCUAAGAGCUGGGCAAGGACCAGCAGCUGGAGGGCACAGGAAGACAGAUUUCACAACUCUCCUCUCAAGGCACCAGGGGGCCCUCGGGGAGUAAGGCCUCCGUCCCAGAAGUCAUUCAACUGAGAUGAUAAAAAGGUGAGUCAGCAUGAAAUGCCGAGUUGCACCAGGUGCCUCACCUCUUGGAGAUAACGAGAAUAUCUGGCCUCAGGAGAUGCUCACAGCUCCACUCUCAUUCUGAAAUUUUCUGUGGCAAUACGUGAAUUACUGGCUAAAAUCUUAGAUGCCCAAAUCUUUGGAAUCAGGAAUUUCCCUUGGUCGUGGGGUCUGGGAAUCUGCAUUUUAAGGUGAGUCUGAUAAGCAACCAGGUUUGAAAAGCACCGUCUAUGAGGCCAUGGGGAGAGCAGCAGCCAUCUCCCAGCCCCUAUUACAGAAGAUGCUCAGCCCCGCCCCCAGCCCCAGGCCAGGGCCCAGAGGCCUGGACCGGCCGAGGCAGGCCAUACGCCUGGUGGCUGGUUCCUGUCCAUCAUAAUCCUCUGGGGAAGCAGGAAGUGAGUCUCGAUAUUUUCUGGCCUGGAAUAGUGGCUAGGGAGACGCACCCCUGAGGCCUGGGAUAUUUCUCUGGUGUGUUUGCCACUAACAGGUUGUGAGAGUUCAUUUUAUGUGUCAGUUUGGUGGGGACAGUGCCCAGAUAUGAGGUCACACAUCAUUCUGGAUGCUUCUGUGAAGAUGUUUUCAGAGGAGAUGAACAUUUAAAUCAGUGGACUCUGAGUAAAGCAGAUGGCCCUUCAUCAUGUGGGUGGGCCUCGUCCAAUCAGUUGAAGGCCUGAAUAGAACAAAAGGCUGACCUCCUCUGCACAAGAGAGAAUUCUGCAGCAGACUGGCCUUUGGACUUGGGCCGCAACGCUGGGUCUCUCCCGGGUCUUCAGCCUGCUGGCUCACCUUGUAGAUUUUGGACUUACCAGCUUCCGUAAUUGUGUGAGCCAAUUCCUUUAAAUAAACACACACACACACACACACAUCCCAUUGGUUCUAUUUCUCUGGAGAACCAUGACUGACACACAGGGAGUGCAACCAAGGAGAUCAAUAGAGAAAUCACGCGAAGCCAAGCUCUCUGGGCACCAGGAACGGCCAGGCGUAAAGGAGACACAGAGAAUGUGGAAGCUCUUUCUGCCGAGGCCGUUUCUGACGUCGGCUUCCGUGACGCAGAGCGCUGGCAGGAGGGGAGAGACCACGUCCUCUGCCUCGGCCGACGGCGCUGCAGGUGUGGGAAUGAUCCCUGGCUCGCCCUCUCCCGUCCUGUCAACAGCCGUGUCCUGCCAAUUUUGCCUCCUAGACAGAUCUCGAACCUCUCCUUCUCGUCUCCCUACUGCUACCCCCUGGUCCAGGCCAACGUCCCUCCCCUGGGCUGACGCUGCCGCCGCCACGCCUCUCCUCUCACCUCCCAACCAUCUGUGUUUCACUCAGCAGCCCAAGUCGUCUUUUUAAAACACAGACCCGCCCAGCUCCCUCGCCUCCUAAACAAUGUCCACUGGCUCUCCCUUGCCUGCAGGAGGGAGCCCAGACUGCUAGGCAGGAUGGGAGGCCUCUGCCAACUGACUCUAGCCGCUGGCUCCACCCCACCUCCCGCCACUGUCCCCGAGGACACCCGCCGCUCCAGCCAGCUGAGCUCCUCGGGGCUCCCUGCCUGCGAACGGCUCUCCCACAGCUGCCUGGGUCCGCACGGGCUGUUCAGCCCUCCAAGCUGCUCCCUCUUCCCCAUCCCCUUGUCCUCUGUGCAACUCAUCCGUGAAGAUGUGAGCCAGGCAUGCCCUCCUCUGGGACGUCCUCUUGGAUCCCUCCCCGGCCCUGCAGGCAGGUGCCCAGCCGCUAGGCAUUCCAGUAGGUCUGCACAUUCCUGCACACUUGGGUUUUUUUUCUUUUUGAGGAAGAUUAGUC